AGGAAUAUUGGUCAAUGGGCGCGAGCCUGAACCAGCCAAGUCGCGUGAGGGAUGACGGCCCUACGGGUUGUAAACCUCUUUUGUCGGGGAGCAAAUUCCGCCACGUGUGGCGGAGUCGAGAGUACCCGAAGAAAAAGCAUCGGCUAACUCCGUGCCAGCAGCCGCGGUAAUACGGAGGAUGCGAGCGUUAUCCGGAUUUAUUGGGUUUAAAGGGUGCGUAGGCGGACUGCCAAGUCAGCGGUAAAAUUGCGGGGCUCAACCCCGUACAGCCGUUGAAACUGCCGGGCUCGAGUGGGCGAGAAGUAUGCGGAAUGCGUGGUGUAGCGGUGAAAUGCAUAGAUAUCACGCAGAACCCCGAUUGCGAAGGCAGCAUACCGGCGCCCUACUGACGCUGAGGCACGAAAGUGCGGGGAUCAAA
rnacentral:rRNA from 1 species